AUUUCAAGAUUUUUCUUUAGAUUUCUUCUUUGACCCAUGUGUUAUAUAGAAGUUCAAUCUUCAAAUAUUUUGGAAUUUUCUAGUUAUCAUUUCUGAGUUCUGCUUUAAUUCAGUUGUAGUCUGACAGCAUAGUGUUUUUAUUUAAAAAGAUUUUUAAGAUAUGUUUUAUGUUCUGGAAUGUGGUGAAUGUUCCAUGAGCUAAAGAAGAAUUCUGUAUCCUGCUGUUAUGGAUGAAGUAGCUACAGUUGCUUAUUAAAUCUAGUUAAUUCAUGGUUUUAUUGAGUUAAACUACGGCUUUACUGAUUUUUUGCCAGCUAGAUAGUCUAUUUCUGAUAGAGGAGUAUUGAAGUCUCCAACUACAUCUUUAACCAUUUCUCCUAACAGAUCUAUCACUUUUUGUCUUACACAUUUUUGAUGCUCUGGAACUAGAAGCAAAAUCUGGAAUUGAGAGAAAAAGUGACUAGACUGAGGACACACAGGAGG